rnacentral:lncRNA from 1 species
UUAAACAAGAUUAGGUACCGAAAGGGCAUUAGUGAUUAACUAGUGUAAUCAAGUCCCCGAUCCUAAUUUCUCCGGUUGCGCAGGAGCAAGUAUUUCUCCCGAUACUUCGCUUGGGUUUCUAAUCGACUCACCCCAAACCGAUUAGUGGCGACUCCGUUCUAAAAUUAAUUUACAGGUUAAAAACUCAGACUAUUAAAGUCGUGAAUUGGUG